rnacentral:rRNA from 1 species
UACGUAGGUGGCGAGCGUUGUCCGGAAUUACUGGGCGUAAAGGGCGCGUAGGCGGUUAAUUAAGUCAGGUGUGAAAACUGUGGGCUCAACCCAGAGACUGCAUCUGAUACUGGAUAACUUGAGUGCAGGAGAGGGCAGUGGAAUUCCUAGUGUAGCGGUGAAAUGCGUAGAUAUUAGGAGGAACACCAGUGGCGAAGGCGGCUGCCUGGACUGUAACUGACGCUGAGGCACGAAAGCGUGGGGAGCAAACAGGAUUAGAUA